rnacentral:rRNA from 1 species
GGUGUGAGGUGUGACGUAAAAGAAAUGAUAAAUAAGUUCUAUUUUCUCUGCUUUCGAACUCUCACUGCCCUGCCACGUCUGGACAUACAUAUCCCUCCCUCCUCCCGUAGAGCUGGCCCGGCUAAGACAGCGGCCAGCGGGCGUCGAGUGUAUGCUUCGAGAUCUCAUUCAAAAGGGACAGUCAAACACGAGAUGUAUGUGCGUGAUCUAAAAAGACACACAGAUGGAUAGUCACCUACGUAGCUGAAACAGAGAAGAGUAGGAUCGAUCCGACGUAGCAGGUGCCGGUUCAACUUCUGGGGCCGGCCGUUCCGUUGGGCUGCAUGCUACCGAACCCGAACGGCGACCUGAUGGCGCAAGUCUGCCACGCGGGCGGACCCCCGUCGUACCGACUGGAGCGGACGUUGGGUCGUGGAGGCCGGUAGACUCCGCGGCUGGCGAACCGGUAACGGCUGCAGCUGGAGUACCCGCGAUCAGUCAUGCGCCUCCUCUUGCUGCUGAGGUGGGAGUCGGACAUUGCGCGCGGGCACACCGCGGCACCACUGGCGGCACCUCCAGCACCACCACCUGUGCUGCGCACUUGUACUGCAGCUGCUGACGCUGCCGCCGAGCCGAGGGCAGCAGGUGCAGAUGCCGAGGCACUGGCGCUUUUGGUCUCGCCGAAGCCUGCUGGCGACCCACCUCCUCGCGUCGGACAAGGUGUCCCGCUUUCCGCUCGACCGGGCGCACGGGUCUCUGCGCCGGCAUGGCGACGCCUGCCGCCGCGAGCAGAGGCGCGGCGACACGAGCCUGAGCCUCGAAGUUCAGAGGCGGCUCGACGACCUGCGGUCGCGCAGCACCGUCUUGGGGCUGGUCCUUUAGCGCGCGCCGAGGCACCAGAAGCGAGGCGCGGAGCGGCCCUGGCUGUGGCGCCUCUAGCGGCCGCGGCUGCCGUUCCAGUCCCACCUGCAGUGAACCAGCUGGAGCAUUUCGUCGUUCUCACUAGUUUUGUAGAGCGAGCGAGCUAAAGAUACAAAACAUGACGUUUUUACGAUGUGGAUACUUUGAAGAAUGAAAAAAAAUCUGUUAGAGUGCUUCGAAAAUAAAUUCAGCAGUGUUACAAAUGUCCCUGUUUACUAUCUAGUGGACUCAACGGGUUGGUGUGUGCCGCCGGAUGGGGUUCACUCUCUCGUACGAAGCGAUCUAACAUUCGGAGCUGUAAGCUCGAGGAUUUGAGUACCGAUUUUUCUGUCCUUUAUUUUUUGAAACUAGCUAGAUGUUAGAGAAAUUACUAUCGUGGCAUACUGCGACGUGAGGGAACGGACUACAGCAGUUGUUGAUGGAACGUCAGACUCCGAUGACUUUAAGACGCGAGCAUUUCUAGCAGGCGGUUCCGAUCACUAAGGGCAUAACGGUUGCGGAGGUCGUAGCGUCCCAGUAGAUUCGGCACCUUUCACUAACACCUGCGAGGGUUCUUUUAGGGACGGACAGGACCGUUUGACGUCGUUGGCGUGGUUGGCCGGACCAGGAGUAUUCGCGUUGUAGGUGUAACUAGAACGUUAAGGGAAGAACACCGCCAUAGGUGGAACGGGCUGAUCCGACUUGGUGGGACCCGACUGGGACGCCAAAGCGGUGUUGGACUUCCAGUGACUAUUUCCGUCGCUACUUUGGUAAGCAACGUAUACCGCAAACUACAUAGGGGAGCACCUAGUUAAAGGAGGACCUUGAGGUCUAACGGGUAUUGCACUGGGGCUCAGACCACU